GCGGGGAAGUUUUCCAAAAAGCAUUUAAGCUGCUGCAUCAGUGAUGACACCCUUGGCCUCCUCCGGGGAAUGACAGUCCUGAGUGGUGGGUGGAAGGAAAUAGACGUGCAAAAUGCAUGCAUUUUUUCAAAUGGGGCGGCAGGCUUAAAUGUCAGCAGGCACAGUGGAGCCCUGGCCGCCAGCUGCACCCGACCUUGGGGCUGAGUUUCCAUAGCCGCUUCCCCUGCGUCACCACUGCUCCUCCCCCUCUUCCCUCCCAUCCUAUCCCAGCAGCUGCCAGCUCAUGAGGGGCCCUUGUAGUCCCCAACCCUGGCCCCCAUACUCUCCUGCCUCUUACUCCACUGGGCCUGGAGUUCCCAGAGCCACAGACAAAAGGUCCUCGGAGGAAUCUUUCUCUAAACUGCUUCUCCUUUCCAACUUCCCAAAUUUGACCUCCUCCAGGGACCAUCCUUUUCUGACCACAGGAAAAGCCCUUCCUUAAAUCCUUUAAAGCCUAGGCUUAGGGGAUUGGGCUCCUGCUUUAAGAGGAGCAUGGCAGAGCGAUCAAGCACAGGGACCCAGCCUGCGUCUGAAGUCACUGUCAGCUCUGUCACUCACUAUUUCCAUGGCUUCGGCACUUUACUAACUUCUCUGUGCCUCUACUUCCUCUUCUGAAAAUGGGGACGCCGAGGUCCAUGGCGUUCACCUCGGAGAAUUAAAUAAAUGAAGAUGUGGAACAUCCUUAGAACAGUGCCUGGCACAUGCAGCCUGAACAGAACUGCUGUGCAGGAAGAGAAGUGAAGACGGAGACCACCCAGCGAGCACAAUGCUCAAAGGCCCAAUGGAUCCACUCCUGACCCUGGAGGUGACCCCAAGCCAAGCCCUGGGGAUGCUCUUAGAGCUUCCUCUCCCAGCACAGGCAGCUGACUUCACCCAUCUGGGAAUGGUCUUCAUUUUGAUGAAGAGGCAGUCAGGGCUGAAAGGUGGUGUGUGGGCAGGAGGCGUCUGCUGGAGCCCGGUGGCAGUGCAGCUGCAGAGCCGCAGAGGACGGCUCUCAAAUCUAUCCAGCGACAGUGAGACCCAGGGCUUUGAAAGACUUUGGGGGUCAAACUGCAACUUUGCCACGUUCCCAAUGUGGGAUCUUGGGCAGCUUGCUUAACCUUUUGGAACCCAGUUUUCCCACUACAAAAUGGGGAUAUUUACACACAUAUAAGAAUUUACAUAAGUAACAAUGUUCAUAAAUUUAGGAAUUCAUCAUUUACCAGAUAUUCUCUAUGUGCCAGGCACUGUGCUAAGCACCUUGCAUGAAUCAUUUUGUUUGAUCUUUAUAAUAACCUUUCAAUAGAGGAAGCAUUAUCUCUAUUUUACAAAUAAAGAAACAGAGGCUCAGAGAGGUUUUGUAACUUGUCCCCAAUCACACAGCAAGUAAGUCCUGGAGCUGGGAUCUGCACUUGGCUUAAUGCACCAGGUAAUUUUGCCUCCAGAGGUGAGAAGCCCAGCACAGGGUCAGGCUUAGGCCAGGCACUCAGUAAAUGUUGGUUCCCUUUCCUCCUUUCUCCCUGGAAGCUCCCCGAAGGCAGAUGGUUCUUUUAAAUAUUCUGAUGAUCUUGAGCUAGUCAGUUCAAGAGGCAGCACCAUGAAGUGUUUAAAGAGCUCUAGAGCCAAACUCCCCUGGAUUCAAAUCCUUGGUUAGCGAUUGACUAGCUGUAUGACUUCAGGCCACUUACAUAACCUCUCUGUGCUCACGUGACCCAUCUGUCUAAAUAAUGAGGAUCACAAUCAUGCCCAUCAUGCCCAUUAAGGCUGUUAUGAGAGCUGAUGAGACAGUGCAUAUAAAAUACUUAGAAACGUGUCUGCAUAUACUAUGUGCUCAACAAAUGUUCCCUGUCAUUAUUACGCACUUGGCACCAGGUGUCGACAGUAAUCUCCAUCUUUGAUACUAGAUAAAAGGGAUCUCGUGGGGCUGGCUGCUCUUCCCCCAAAGUCAUUCUGUGCCCCCAAAUCAUCCCAUUAUAAAGGGAAGGGAAUGGAGGAAGAGGAAAAGAACAAAGGAGAGAGAAACUCACACGUACUAACUCAGAUUCUUCACAAGGUUAUUUCCCUGGGUCCACCCAACAACCAUAUAAGAAGGUAUUAUUGUACUCAAUAAAUGAAACAAGAAGUGACCCCAAGGGGAAUAAAGGACAUGCCUAGAAUUACACAGCUGGUAAGUGGGGAGCACAGGUGAGAAUCCCAUCCUUUUUAAGCACAUCUCCUGCCUUCAACUAAUGAUGCUCUCUGCACACGGCCACCUCACCACCGACCCUCUGGGAAGUCAAGCCUUAAGCUCCUGCCAGCAGGGAAGGAGGGCAGGCAGAGAGGCACACUCUCCUAUGGCCAAUGGCAGCUUUAGGAGGACAGAGAGCCACUUGACAGAAAAAGGAGAGAACCUUCUCCUUGGAUGCCCAGGGCAGGCCUGCUUGGUAUAUUCCCAGACCAUCUGUCUACUAUGUAGGGUCCACACCUUCACCCGAAUACCAGAGAGGAGGCAUCUUCUUUCCACCUAAAGUAGAAAGGCCUGGUGAGUCUCAACGCAUGUUACAGCUGGGAAAACAGAGGCCCUGAGCAUCUUGCCUGGGGUUGUACCUGGGUUAUACCCAGGGUUGCCCAGGCUUAGUGGCAAAGUAAGGGCAGGAUGCCAGGCUGGCUGACCCCCACUCCUUUUUCUGGAAUUACAUUCUGCUGUCUGCCCAGUAAAGAAAAUAGUAAUGUAACCAGUGGGUCCCUCUUUAGGUCUUUUGGAGGGUGGAAGGGAAGAAUUCCAGAGAAACCCAGGCAGGGAGGGAGGGGCUGCUGUAACCACAGCAGGCCUCCCCCAGGGAGAGGGACCGUGUCCCAAGUAGGGGUUGAGUUCUGAGCCUGGUGGCCCCUCCUGCUGCCACCUCCUGGAGAGGGGAAUCUUCUACCAGAGAAUGUAGCCCACCCUCCAAGACACAGCCCUGACUGUGCCACAUGCACCACCAUGACCAGGCUCCGGCGUUCUGAACCCUGUUCUGGGUUCUAACAACUUUAAGGGCUUUAGUCUGGGGCUCUGGUUUAGCCUCUGAAGAGCCCAGGUUUUAAAUAAUAACUUUACCUUGCUGUGAAACUGCUUCCACCUUGUUCUUUUCCUCUAAAAUAUAUAUGUGUGUGAUUGUGUGUGUGUGGGGGGGGGGGCACCCGCGUGUUGAGGUUGUUCCUGGGGGACUAUUAACUAAGAAUAAUUUAUCCAAGAAAUUUGUUAUGUUAGAAUUACCAAUUAGAUAUGAUUAUAACUUACCCUGGCUAACACUGCACUACUGUUGGAAAUCUGAAUCCCAUUAAAAUCUAAUUAGCAUAUAUUAAGUCGAAGGCGGUUUUACUGCAGUGGGCCAGCAGGUUUGAGCUGCGACAGGCCGGGCACGUGGACUCACUGCCCACUUCAGCAUGCUGGCCAAUGGCCCACAGUGCCCAGGUGGGUGCCAGGCAGCCUAUGGGCAGCUUUUCUCCUCCUAAGCUGAGACCAGACGGCCCAUGCUCACAGAAAGGGGCAGCUCCAGACGUGGACAUGAUGUUCGAGGUUCCGCCUUUAGAUGAGUGGCCAGCAUCCACGGAAAGCCUUCUUUGCCAUGUGGCUAAGCCAACCAAGGCGCUCUGGGCAGUGGCAAUGAACAAGCUGAACAAGCUGCAACUACA
rnacentral:lncRNA from 10 species